rnacentral:tRNA from 1 species
GCCCCGAUAGCUCAGCUGGAUAGAGCAGCGGACUUCUAAUCCGCAGGUCGAAGGUUCGAAUCCUUCUCGGGGUG